UGGCCCGUAGCUCAAUUGGCAGAGCGCCCGACUGUUAAUCGGGUGGUUCCAGGUUCGAGUCCUGGCGCGCCAG
rnacentral:tRNA from 1 species